GCCUACAGAAUGGGAGAACUAAUAAGUAUUCUUUGACUGUGUUAGCUAUUUUUGCCAUAGAGAACAAAAUUAAUACUCUGGUUAUAUUACUGUGUGGGUUUUUUCCCUUUAAAUUAAUUUUUAUUUCAAAAGACCCUUUCUCUGACUUUUUCCUAACUCUUUAAGUUAUAUUAUGCAAUUGAAAAAUCCGUGGGACAAGCCUCAUAUCACUUUGUAUGUUAUUGGAAGUACUAAACCAAGUGGACCUGAGAAACCUAGCCCUACCUCAAGUUCAUGUCAUUUUUGUCAUUUGUUUUGUUUUCUGGUUUUUAAUGCAUAAAAUAGCAGUAACAAUAGCCAGCCAUAAAGGAUAGUUAUAAGAACCAUAAAUCAUUUUGAUAAAGAUCUGCUAUUCAGUAUGCAUUUCUGAAUUUUUAGUCAUAGAAAGAUAGUGCUAGAUAUUAUUUCAGGUAUCUAGUGUGGACAUAAUUAUUAUGUAAAGUAAUUGUUGUCUUGAUGUGAAAUAAAACUGCUUUAACAUCAAAGAAAAGUUCUAUACAAUUAUAUAACUAUUGAUAUUUUAGGAAUAUUAUCAGGGUAUUAGUAAUAUUAAUGAAAGAAUUAGAAAGCUUAAGCAACUAGCCUUUUGGAAAGUUAAUGACUGAACAAUAUAUAAUAUAAAUAAUUUAUAUUCAAUUCUUUAAAUUCUUAAAUUACAUUAAAAUUCCCCAUUUUUGUUCUAAAAGAUUCAAACUAAUUCAGAUAUAUAUAGGGCAAAAACAUCGCCACUUUCAGUCUCCCCAACUUUUCUUGCAAAGAUAACCUAUGUCAGUAAUUUGGUAUGCAGCUUAUUACCGUCUUAUAACCCAUGGCAACCAAUUAGUGCCUUAAUACUAAUUAAUACCUUAACUACUAGUUAGUACCUUAACAUGUUAAGUAGUACCCAGUAGUUUUUGCCACCAAAAAUAUUUUGAAAAUUUUAAAAAGAGCACUAGAGGAUAAUAUAACAACAUUUGUGUUCACCAUUCUAAAUUGUUUUUUCCUAUUUUUAUUAAAGGAAUAAAGCAUAAAGUUGAAGUCUUCAAUAUGUAUUUAAAACAAUGUAAAUAUUUUAUUCGUUAUAAAGCCUACAAAAAUUAUCUUACUCUCUAUGCAUCUUAUUUCAACUAGUCUUUUCCAUUUAAUAGCUAUGUUGUUGAUAGCUAGAGUCUGUUGUUUAUGUUUAGGUUCUGAAUAACUAAGGGUUUCAGGUAUUCUGUAAAAACUAUGAUUUUUAAAUUAUAGGAGAUGUUUCGAUGUGUAUGUUAGGAAAACUCUAACUGCAUUCAGAAAAAAUAAGUUCCCGAGAUUUCCGUUCAGUAAUACUUUUGAAACACAGAUAAAAUUACUUCCUGUCGCUCAGCUUCCUGUAUCCAUGGCAACCUCUGUUUUACACAUUGACUCUAAAGGAACCAAUGUGAAGAGUGGUGUUUCCUGAGCAAACUGUGACUUUAAAAAAAGGUGGUGGGGUGGAGGUCAGCAGUGCCACAGAACAAAAUGGAGUUUGGAAAUGUCGUUCUUCAGAUUUAGAAAGAAAACCUUUACUGAAUCAGCUGAGCGUUAAUAAUAUGAAUUUCCUGUUUCUGCCAAUUCUGAUCUGAACAGAAAAACCAAGAACAGGGAUAUGUAUGGAUUACAGUUUUCUCUGCUUUGCCUACGACUGUUUCUGCUUGUUACCUGUUAUAUUUUAUUAUUACUUCACAAAGAAAUACUUGGAUGUUCGUCUGUUUGUCAGCUCUGCACUGGGAGACAAAUUAACUGCCGUAACCUAGGCCUUUCGAGUAUUCCUCAGAAUUUUCCUGAAAGUACAGUUUUUCUGUAUCUGACUGGAAAUAAUAUAUCUUAUAUAAAUGAAAGUGAACUAACAGGACUUCAUUCUCUUGUAGCACUGUAUUUGGAUAAUUCUAACAUUCUGUAUGUAUAUCCAAAAGCCUUUGUUCAAUUGAGGCAUCUAUAUUUUCUAUUUCUAAAUAAUAAUUUUAUCAAACGCUUAGAUCCUGGAAUAUUUAAGGGACUGGUAAAUCUUCGUAAUUUAUAUUUACAGUCUAAUCAGGUAUCUUUUGUUCCAAGAGGAGUAUUUAAUGAUCUAGUUUCAGUUCAGUACUUAAAUCUACAAAGGAAUCGCCUCACUGUUCUUGGAAGUGGUACCUUUGUUGGUAUGGUUGCUCUUCGGAUACUUGACUUAUCAAACAAUAACAUUUUGAGAAUAUCAGACUCAGGGUUUCAGCAUCUUGGAAACCUUGCUUGUUUGUAUCUAGAAAGUAAUACUUUAACAAAAGUACCAUCAAAUGCCUUUGAAGUACUUAAAAGUCUUAGAAGACUUUCUUUGUCUCAUAAUCCCAUUGAAGUAAUACAGCCCUUUGCAUUUAAAGGACUUGUCAACUUGGAAUAUCUCCUUCUGAAAAAUUCAAGAAUUAGAAAUAUUACUAGGGAUGGAUUUAGUGGAAUUAAUAAUCUUAAACAUUUGAUCUUAAGUCAUAAUGAUUUAGAGAAUUUAAAUUCUGACACAUUUAGUUUGUUAAAGAAUUUAAUUUACCUUAAGUUAGAUAGAAACAGAAUAGUUAGCAUUGAUAAUGAUACAUUUGAAAACAUGGGAGCAUCUUUGAAGAUCCUUAAUCUGUCAUUUAAUAAUCUUACAGACUUGCAUCCAAGGGUCCUUAAGCCAUUGUCUUCAUUGAUUCAUCUUCAGGCAAAUUCUAAUCCUUGGGAAUGUAACUGCAAACUUGCGGGCCUUCGAGACUGGCUAACAUCUUCAGCCAUUACCCUAAACAUCUAUUGUCAGAAUCCCCCAUCCAUGCGUGGCAGAGCAUUACGUUAUAUUAACAUUACAAAUUGUGUUACGUCUUCAACAAAUGUAUCCAGAGCUUGGGUUGUUGUAAAAUCUCCUCACAUUCAUCACAAGACUACUGCACUAAUGAUGGCCUGGCCUAAAGUAACCACCAGUGGCAAUCCUCUGGAAAAUACUGAGACUGAGAGCAUUACUUUCUGGGAACGAAAAUCUACUUCACCUGCCGGUAGAUUUUUUCAAGAGAAUGCCUUUGGUAAUCCAUUAGAGACUACAGCAGUGUUACCUGUGCAGAUACAGCUUACUACUUCUGUUACCUUGAACUUGGAAAAAAACAGUGCUCUACCGAUUGAUGCUGCUUCAAUGUCAGGGAAAACAUCUCUGAUUUGUACACAAGAAGUUGAGAAGUUGAAUGAGGCUUUUGACAUUUUGCUGGCUUUUUUCAUCUUAGCUUGUGUUUUAAUCAUUUUUUUGAUCUACAAAGUUGUUCAAUUUAAACAAAAACUAAAGGCACUAGAAAACUCAAGGGAAAAUAGACUUGAAUACUACAGCUUUUAUCAGUCAGCAAGGUAUAAUGUAACUGCCUCAAUUUGUAACAGUAAUCCAAAUUUUCUAGAAAGUCCUGGCUUGGAGCAGAUUCGACUUCAUAAACAGAUUGUUCCUGAAAAUGAGGCACAGGUCAUUCUUUUUGAACAUUCUGCUUUAUAACUCAAGUAAAUAUUGUCUAUAAGAAACUUUGGUGCCAUGGACAUGAUUAAAACUGAAACCUCCUUAUAGAAGUAUAUACUUGGAAAUACAAUGAAUUAUAUGAGUGUUAUCCAAGAUAAAUUCUGUGGGAUUAUAAACAUCUCAGUGGAAGGCCUGCACGACGUCAUGACGGAAGAUCCUGAAACAGGAACUUAUAAAGACUGUAUGUUGAUGUCUCAUCUUGAGGAA